UACGUAGGGACCGAGCGUUGUCCGGAUUCAUUGGGCGUAAAGAGCUCGUAGGCGGCUGCUCAAGUCGAAUGUGAAAACUCGAGGCUCAACCUCGAGCCUGCAUUCGAUACUGGGCGGCUAGAGUCUGGUAGGGGGAUCUGGAAUUCCUGGUGUAGCGGUGAAAUGCGCAGAUAUCAGGAGGAACACCUGCGGCGAAGGCGGGUUGCUGGGCCGACACUGACGCUGAUGCGCGAAAGCCAGGGGAGCGAACGGG
rnacentral:rRNA from 1 species